rnacentral:rRNA from 1 species
UACGGGGGGGGCAAGCGUUGUUCGGAAUUACUGGGCGUAAAGGGCUCGUAGGCGGCCAACUAAGUCAGACGUGAAAUCCCUCGGCUUAACCGGGGAACUGCGUCUGAUACUGGAUGGCUUGAGAUUGGGAGAGGGAUGCGGAAUUCCAGGUGUAGCAGUGAAAUGCGUAGAUAUCAAGCGGAACACCAGUGGCGAAGGCGAGUCCCUGGACAACUCCUGACACUGAUGCACGAAAGCUAGGGGAGCAAACAGG